GUUACAAACAAUAACUCAUUAAAACAGUGCUUGCUAUGCUUCUUACCUUCCUUUUAACUGUCAAAAUUGUAAUCUGUAAGAAACUUUCCUCAGCUAUUAAAAUCCUCUAAUUUCAGCAGAGAAUGCAACAACAGAAUGUGGCAAAUCCUCCUCUUCUGUUGUAGAGAUUUUCAGUGAAAAUUCCCAGCCUUCUCUGACUUACAGUGUCUUGGGUAUUCUCACUGGGAGGAGUAAGCACUUUCAGGUGGGGCUGAGACUGCAGGUACUGUUCACAAAGAACCUGAAGAUAAGUAGCAAUGUUUGUCUGUUGCUGAGAGGUGUUGUGAGGUUUUGUGGACAUUCUGUGCUGAGAAAAUGCAAACACCAUAAAAUAUAGGAAGCCAGACUGUCAAACAAGGGACAAUCAAACUAAACAACCUGUUCUCCGUUCAAGCAUUCCGUUGUGCUAACAGCUACUGGCAGUGAGUAUGCACCUGUGCUCUUGGUGAAAAUGAAGGGACCUGUAUGAGACUGAGGCUAUUAACAUAGGUCCUGUUGCUGCCAGCAGGAGUAAAGAUGGACACUUGCCACUCCAACUUGAGAUGAGAC
ensembl:lncRNA